rnacentral:rRNA from 1 species
GUUCGGAUUGCAGGCUGCAACUCGCCUGCAUGAAGCUGGAAUUGCUAGUAAUCGCGGAUCAGCAAGCCGCGGUGAAUACGUUCCCGGGCCUUGUACACACCGCCCGUCACACCAUGAGAGUCGGGAACACCCGAAGUCCGUAGUCUAACCGCAAGGGGGGCGCGGCCGAAGGUGGGUCCGGUAAUUGGGGUGAAGUCGUAACAAGGUACC